AUAUUUGAUCCGCUUAAUUUCCGAUAAGGAAAGCGGGGGAACCAACAAUCGGCAGACGAUGUGAGAGUCGGAAGCCGGUUAUGGGGUGAAUCCUGUAGAAGAUGCCAGUGAGCUCGCAUCUAUACAGGUAGGGCGACUCUCACCGCCCGAAUCCGACAGCUAACCUCGUAAGCGUAUGGAGAGAGGAUGA
rfam:Paenibacillus sp. FSL H7-0737, complete genome.